rnacentral:rRNA from 1 species
UACGUAGGGUGCGAGCGUUAAUCGGAAUUACUGGGCGUAAAGCGUGCGCAGGCGGUUUUGUAAGCCAGAUGUGAAAGCCCCGGGCUCAACCUGGGAAUUGCAUUUGAGACUGCAUAGCUAGGGUGCGGAAGAGGGAAGCGGAAUUUCCGGUGUAGCGGUGAAAUGCGUAGAUAUCGGAAGGAACACCAGUGGCGAAAGCGGCUUCCUGGUCCAGCACCGACGUCAGGCACGAAAGCGUGGGGAGCAAACAGGG